rnacentral:rRNA from 1 species
CCAGGAACCGAAAGUCAGAGGCGCGAAGGCGAUCAGAUACCGCCGUAGUUCUGACCAUAAACGAUGCCAACUAGCGAUCGGCCGGAGUUGCUUUAAUGACUCGGCUGGCAGCUUCCGGGAAACCAAAGUCUUUGGGUUCCGGGGGAAGUAUGGUUGCAAAGCUGAAACUUAAAGGAAUUGACGGAAGGGCACCACCAGGAGUGGAGCCUGCGGCUUAAUUUGACUCAACACGGGAAAACUCACCCGGCCCGGACACUGUAAGGAUUGACAGAUUGAUAGCUCUUUCUUGAUUCGGUGGGUGGUGGUGCAUGGCCGUUCUUAGUUGGUGGAGCGAUUUGUCUGGUUAAUUCCGAUAACGAACGAGACUCUAGCCUGCUAAAUAGUUCACCGAUCUCCGACGGUCGGGCUGGACUUCUUAGAGGGACAAGCGGCGUUUAGUCGCACGAGAUUGAGCAAUAACAGGUCUGUGAUGCCCUUAGAUGUUCGGGGCCGCACGCGCGCUACACUGAAGGCAUCAACGUGUACUAUCCUGGUCCGGAAGGAUUGGGUAACCCGAUGAACCGCCUUCGUGCUAGGGAUUGGGGCUUGUAAUUGUUCCCCAUGAACGAGGAAUUCCCAGUAAGCGCAAGUCAUUAGCUUGCGUUGAUUACGUCCCUGCCCUUUGUACACACCGCCCGUCGCUACUACCGAUUGAGUGGUUUAGUGAGGCCCUCCGACUGGUCCCGGCACGGCGUUCGCGUCGAGCCGGUGCGCCAGGAAGACGGUCAAACUUGCUCACUUACACGAAGUAAAGUCGUAACAAUGAUUCCGUCGUGACGAGGGGGGGGAAGAAAAAAACCCCCCCUAGGAA